UACAGAGGUCUCAAGCGUUGUUCGGAUUCAUUGGGCGUAAAGGGUGCGUAGGCGGCGCGGUAAGUCGGGUGUGAAAUCUCGGAGCUUAACUCCGAAACUGCAUUCGAUACUGCCGUGCUUGAGGACUGGAGAGGAGACUGGAAUUUACGGUGUCGCGGUGAAAUGCGUAGAUAUCGUAAGGAAGACCAGUGGCGAAGGCGGGUCUCUGGACAGUUCCUGACGCUGAGGCACGAAGGUCAGGGGAGCAAACGGG
rnacentral:rRNA from 1 species